rnacentral:rRNA from 1 species
UGCCAGCCGCCGCGGUAAUACGGAGGGUGCGAGCGUUAAUCGGAAUUACUGGGCGUAAAGGGUGCGUAGGUGGUUGUUUAAGUUAUCUGUGAAAGACCCGGGCUUAACCUGGGGAUGUCAGGUAAAACUGGAUGACUUGAGUAUGGUAGAGGGUACUGGAAUUUCCGGUGUAGCGGUGAAAUGCGUAGAUAUCGGAAGGAACACCAGUGGCGAAGGCGAGUACCUGGGCCAAUACUGACACUGAGGCACGAAAGCGUGGGUAGCGAACAGGAUUAGAUA